UCCAGAUGCUGCAGCAAGUAAACUGGGGGCUGGGGGAGGGGCGGAGCGUCCGUUCAGAACCACCACAGCAACAAGCAGCCCAGGCCAGUGAGGAGGCUAUCUGGGCUUCCUUACCUUCAUGAGUGUCCAACGCGGAGGCCACCCAGGUGACGGGCUGAAGAAGGGAUUGACUGAACGAUCGAUCGAUCAGGAGACCGAGCUGACCCGUGGCUGCCUCUCCAAUGCAACCUGGUAGCACCUCAGCUUUCCGCUGCCCUGUCCUAAAAGAGCUGAAAGCAUCAGGAUGUGGCUCUUUCAUCUUCUCUCUCAAACCCAGCAAGGGGCCCCCACGCAGAGGUUGCUCCAUGUGUGUUUGGGGUCUGAAGAAGCAAAGAGGCAGUGAAGCAAACUAUAAAAGUGAUAGCUGG